CCUACGGGAGGCAGCAGUGAGGAAUAUUGGUCAAUGGGCGUAAGCCUGAACCAGCCAAGUCGCGUGAGGGAUGAAGGUGCUAUGGAUCGUAGACCUCUUUUGCAAGGGAAUAAAGUGUGGGACGUGUCCUAUUUUGUAUGUACCUUAUGAAUAAGGAUCGGCUAACUCCGUGCCAGCAGCCGCGGUAAUACGGAGGAUCCGAGCGUUAUCCGGAUUUAUUGGGUUUAAAGGGUGCGUAGGCGGCCUUUUAAGUCAGCGGUGAAAGUCUGUGGCUCAACCAUAGAAUUGCCGUUGAAACUGGGGGGCUUGAGUGUGUUUGAGGCAGGCGGAAUGCGUGGUGUAGCGGUGAAAUGCUUAGAUAUCGCGCAGAACCCCGAUUGCGAAGGCAGCCUGCCAAGCCAUGACUGACGCUGAUGCACGAAAGCGUGGGGAUCAAACAGGAUUAGAUACCCCAGUAGUC
rnacentral:rRNA from 1 species